rnacentral:rRNA from 1 species
AUACGGAGGGUGUAAGCGUUGUUCGGAAUUACUGGGCGUAAAGCGCGCGUAGGCGGUCUGUUAUGUCAGAUGUGAAAGUCCUCGGCUCAACCGGGGAAGUGCAUUUGAAACUGGCAGACUUGAGUACUGGAGGGGGUGGUGGAAUUCCCGGUGUAGAGGUGAAAUUCGUAGAUAUCGGGAGGAAUACCGGUGGCGAAGGCGACCACCUGGCCAGAUACUGACGCUGCGGUGCGAAAGCGUGGGGAGCAAACAGGAUUAGAAACCCCAGUAGUCC